GAAAUGCGAUAAGUAGUGUGAAUUGCAGAAUUCAGUGAAUCAUCGAAUCUUUGAACGCACAUUGCGCCCUUUGGUAUUCCUUAGGGCAUGCCUGUUCGAGCGUCAUUUAAACCUUCAAGCUCAGCUUGGUGUUGGGUGACUGUCCGCUUCACCGCGGACUCGCCUCAAAAUUAUUGGCGGCCGGUACAUUGGCUCUCGAGCGCAGCAGAAACGCGUAACUCGAGGUCCUCGUGCUGGCGCCCAGAAGCUAUCUUCACAAUUUUGACCUCGGAUCAGGUAGGGAUACCCGCUGAACUUAAGC
rnacentral:misc_RNA from 1 species